rnacentral:lncRNA from 1 species
UCUACUAUCCAAUGUGAUACCUAUCUAUAUGAUUCAAUUGAAUAUGAUUUGGAACAAACUUCCUAAGUCAUAUUCAUAUGCUUUGGCCAAAGACUCUCGAAUCAUAUCUUAGAGUAUUCUCCUUCCACCAUGGAAGGUUAGAGAUUCCUUGUUGUGCAUUCAUAUGCCUACAUGACUAGAUAGCUUGACCCACAACAAUGCCGUGGACACUCCAAUGGAAUGCCAUUGACAUGAUCAAAGAUUAAGGACCUAACCAUUAGACAUCUAUGAUGCCUCAGGUCAAAGGACUACUUUGCAUAUUGCAA